AUGGACGGGGCUGACACGCCGCGGCGACAUUUCGCUCUUGUCGCUCACACGAGUCACGUCACGAUGCUGGCCUGGCGCGGUGUCUUUCUUUCUCUUCUCCUCGGCAGAGCUUUGGCUCUCACGGUAACGCAAGAUAAGCUCUCUGUGACCAAAGGGCCGGGCAAGACGAUCCGAAUAAGAUGCACGACGGACGGCAACCCCAUUCACUGGUAUCGACAAAAAGACAACGGGGCCUUAGAGCGAAUGCUGUACGUAAACUCGGGGACCCCAAGCUACGACUCCGCGGAUUACCAGAAAUUCAGAGCUGAGGACGGAGGAUCAACUCUGCAUAAAGACAGCGCCGAGGCGGACGACGAGGCGACAUAUUACUGUGCUGUAUGGGACACUCACGGUGACAGAGACCGCGGGGACACCCGCACAAAAACCGAUGAGACUUGUCCAACUACCGGAGACACCUCCGCUGUUUAUGAUGAGAGGGUGGCCUUAAUGUCAUCGUCGUGUCCUGCCAUCUUAUAA